rnacentral:sRNA from 1 species
UUUUACGCUGACAUAUCAUUUCCCAACGAAUUCAUCGCCAAAAGGAUCAAGAAGAACGUACAUAGUUCCUAAUCACAUCAACAUCACUCGAAAUAAUACAAAAACAACAAGAAAUGCUUUUCUCUAUAGCAGCUUAUAUGCUCAGAGCUUCAUUGAAUGAGUAUUCCACGUUUGCUAUAUAACAGGUGUCACUGUCCUUUCAUGAGCGGGCAAAAAAAGGGCGCAAAUGUUUGGUGGUAUUGAGCGAAAAAUGGGCUUGGUUCAUAAUUGGGGCACUGGGAAGGGGUCCUCAAAUUAGGAUACAAAGAUGACCCUAUCGUAGGAAUUUUUCCCAACAGUCUCGGAUCACAGACUUGGUUCGAAAUAUGAGAAGUGGGUAAAUCUGUGAUGUCCAAAUUUUCUGGGUGACGUCCAAUGGGAUCCCAGAAGUCGUCAAGUACAGUGGCAAUCGACUGGUCCUUUGAAAGGUGUCCUUCAGGAGAAUCUUGGGCGGCUGUUGCUCGGGAAAUUCCGUAACAGUUUGGCGUUGAAGUCUGGAACUCGGUGCCGGAAGACCUUUGUCCCGGGGAAGGCCUUGCUUGGGAAGCAUUGGUUCUGUUAAGAGCAUGGCCAUAUUGUGAAAGUUUGGGAUAUAUAGGUGGCGUAGGGCGGAUGUAAGUUGCAAAACGUGAUUUUGGGCCAUAGAAUAUACUUGAUGGCGGAUAAUGAUCUUGUUGAGGGAUAGAAGGGCGCGGAUGAUGUAUUGUUGAC